rnacentral:lncRNA from 1 species
AAGCAUUGAACAUACAAAUCCAAUCCAAUACCACCGGUAGAAGAGCGAAACAAAUGGACCCUUAGAGAUGAAAGCAUUGAACAUACAAAUCCAAUCCUACACAACCGGUAGAAGAGCGUGCCAUUAUGGAGUGGGUAUUAUUGAGAAUGGGAUGGCAGUAUGGCACCACUACUAGUCUGCCUCUGCCAUGCUUUGAUAUGACAAUCUUGAUACCCACCCCCGCGUAAAUUAGCAAAAAUGGUAAAGGAAAUGUCAAAAACUCGCUCAAAUAAUUGCCGAUCUAGAUCACUCCACAAAAUGGUUAAGCUAGCAGCCUAGCACGAGUUGGUGCCUUUCCCAGUCCCCUUCACCUUUGAGAUGCGAGUGAGAGUGAUCCACUAGGACCACCACGCCCCAACCCCAAGAGGCCAAGACCACCGAACAAAGGUCUCGUCACAUUCCUACUCCCGUCACCACCGAAUCUGCAAGACUCACGAGCCCCCGCAAGCAUCAUCCCCAGACGCAACCUGGCAAUUUUGUAUUCUAUCAGUCUAUCCGUAGCAGCGGCGGAUCAGAGACAACCAGUACUUGUUUUCUCCUACCCCAGCAGAGGCAGAGCCCAGCUUAGGCCAUGUUUAGUUACUCCCAACUUCCAACUUUGACACUAUGCAAAAAGAAGAUUCCCCAUCACAUCAAACUUGCGGUACAUGCAUGGAGUACUAAAUGUAGAUGAAAUUAAAAAGUAAUUGCACAGUUUUGUUGUACUUUGCGAGACGAAUCUUUUGAGCCUAAUUAGUCAAUAUUUGGACAAUAAUUCACAAAUACAAACGAAACGCUACAGUGUGCUACAGUGCUGUAACAGUAAUUUGGCACCUCCCAAAUUCGCCAACUAAACAAGGCCUUACUCUUCCAAAUCCCUGUCACCUGUCAGGUAGGUGCAGUCUUCAGCCGGUGGGAUCAUGGUUGCCAAGAGCAAGCGACAGCUCGCCAAGCUCGCGCUGCUUCUACUCGCCCUGCUCCUCCUCCUCGCCGCCGCCAUCCUGCUGUGCG